ensembl:lncRNA
UUCUAUCAUGCCCGGCAGGUGAUUCCAGAGAGUCCACCAAGUGGUUUUGGCAUAGCCAGCAGGUGAUUUUGGCGUGUCCGGCAGGUGGUUCAGGCGAGUUGAGCAGGUGGUUCCGCCGUGCUCGGCAGGUGCUUCCGGCGUCUCCGGCACGUGUUUCUGGCACAUCUGACAGGUGGUUCCGGCAUGCCCGAAAGGUGAUUCCGGUCUGUCCAGUAGGUGGUUCUGGCGUGUCUGGCACGUGGUUCUGGUACGUCUGAGAGGUGGUUCCCACAUGCCCAUCAGGUGAUUCUUGACUGUCCGCCACGUGGUUCUGGCACAUCUGAGAGGUGGUUCCGGUAUGCUGGGCAGUUCAUCCCGGACUGUCCCCCAAAGGGUUCCAGCAUGUCUGUGAGGUGGUUCCAGCAUGCCCGGCCAGUGAUCCUGGAGAGUCCUCCAAGUGAUUUUGGCGUAGCUGGCAGGUGAUUUUUGUGUGUCCAGCAGGUGGGUCCUAUGACUCGAGCAGGUGGUUCUGGCAUGCUUGGCAGGUGGUUCAUGCACGUCCGGCAGGUGGUUCCAUUCUGUCAAAUAGGUGGUUCCGGCGUGUCCAGCACGUGGUUCCGGCACAUCUGAGAGGUGGUUCCGGCAUGCCUGGCAGUUGAUCCCUGAGAGUACUCCACGUGGUUCUAUCGUAGCUGGCAGGUGAUUUUGGCAUGUCCGGCAGGAGGUUCUGGUCUGUCUGGGUGGUGGUUCUGGUGUGUCCGGCACGUGGUUCCGGUCUGUCCAGUAGGUGGUUCCGGCAUCUCAGGCACGUGGUUGUGGUACGUCUGAGAGGUGGUUCCGACAUGCCCGGCAGGUGAUCCCGGAGAGUCCUCCAAGUGGUUCUUGCAUAGCUGGGUGGUGAUUUUGGCGUGUCUGGCUGGUGGUGCUGGCGUGCUUGGCAGGUGGUUCAGGCAGGGCCGGUAGGUGGUUCCAGCAUGUCCGGCACGUGGUUCCGGUAUGUCUCAGAGGUGGUUCUGGCAUGCCCGGCAGGUGAUUCCAGAUUGUCCACCAAGUGGUUCUGGCGUAGCUGGCAGGUGAUUUUGAUGUGUCCGGUGGGUGGUUCCGGCUAUUCGAGCAGGUGCUUGCAGCGACCUCGGCAGGUGCUUCUGGCGUCUCCGGCACGUGGUUCUGGCACAUUUGAGAGGUGGUUCUGGCAUGCCCGGCAGUUGAUUCUGGAGUGUCUGGCAAGUGGCUCUGGCAUAGCCGGCAGGUGAUUUUGGCAUGACCAGCAGCUGGGUCCUGCAUGUCGAGCAGGUGUUUCCGGCAAGCUUGCCAGGUGGUUCAGGCGUCUCCAGGAUGUGGUUCUUCCACAUCUGAGAGGUGGUUUCGGCACACCAGGCAGGUGAUUCUGGUUUGCCAGCCCAGUGGUUCUGGCGUAGCCAGCAGGUGAUUUUGCAUGUCCAGCGGUGGUUCCGGCGAGUCGAGCAGGUGGUCUCGGCGUGCUCGGCAGGUGCUUCCUGCGUGUCCAGCACGUGUUUCUGGCACGUCUGAGAGGUGGUUCUGGCAUGCCCGGCAGGUGAUUCCGGAGUGUCCGGCAAGUGGUUCUGGUGCAGCCGGCAUGUGAUUUUGGCAUGUCCAGUAAAUGGGUCCUGCGAGUCGAGCAGGUGGUUCCUGCGUGCUCGGCAGGUGGUUCAGCCAUGUCCGGAAGGUGGUUCCAGUCUGUCCAGGACGUUUUUCUGUCGUGUCUGGCUCGUGGUUCUGGUACGUCUCAGAGGUGGUUCCGCCAUGCCUGGCAGGUGAUUCCGGACUGUCCCCCACAUGGUUCUAGCACUUCUGAGAGGUGGUUCUGGCAUGUCCGGCCGGUGAUUCCGGAGAGAGCUCCAAGUAUUUCUGGUGUAGCCGGCAGGGGAUUUUGUCGUGUCCGGCAGGUGGUUCCGGUAUGUCAAGCAGGUCAUUCCGGUGAGCUCGGCAGGUGCUUCCGGUGUCUCCGGCACGUGGUUCUGUCUGGUUUGAGAGGUGGUUGUGGCACGCCCAGCAGGUGAUUCAGGAGUGUCUGGCAAGUGGUUCUGGCAUAGCUGGCAGGUGAUUUUGGCGUGUCUGGCAGGUGGGUCCUGCAAGUCGAGCAGGUGGUUGUGGCAUGCUCGCCAGGUCAUUCAGACGCGUCCGGCAGGUGGUUCCGUUCUGUCCCGUAGGUGGUUCUGGCGUGUCAGGCAUGAGGGUCUGGCAUGUCUGAGAGGUGCUUCUGGGAUGCCUGACAGGUGAUUCCGGAGUGUCCGCCAAGUGCUUCUGGCGUAGUUGGCAGGUGAUUUGGGGUGUCUGGCAGGUGGUUCUGUGGAGUGCAUCCCGUACUUCUGGCAUUCUCAGCAGGUGCUUCCAGUGUCUCCGGCUCAUGCUUCUGGCACAUCUGAGAGGUGGUCCUGGCAUGCCCAGCAGGUGAUUCCGGAGUGUCUGGCAAGUGGUGAUGGCACAGCCAGCAUGUGAUCUUGGCAUGUCCGCUAAGUGGGUCCUGCAAGUCGAGCAGGUCGUUCCUGCGUGCUCGGCAGGUGGUUCAGGCAUGUCCAGCACUUGGAUCCAAUCUGUCCAGGACGUGGUUCUGGGGUGUCCACCACGUGGUUCUGGUACGUCUCAGAGGUGGUUCUGGCAUGCCUGGCAGGUGAUUCCGGACUGUCCCCCAGGUGGUUCUAGCACGUCUGAGAGGUGGUUCCGGCAUGCCCAGCAGGUGAUCCAAGAGAGUCCUCCAAGUGAGUCUGGCAUAGCCCACAGGUGAUUUUGGCAUAUGCGGCAGGUGGUUCUGGCAUGCAUGGCAGGUGGUUCCGGGAGGUCCGGUAGGUGGUUCCGGUCUGUCCUGGAGGUGGUUCCAUCGUGUCCAGCACGUGGUUCCAACAUGUCUGACAGGUGGUUCUGGCAUGUCUGGCAGGUGAUUCUGGAUUUUCCGCCAAGUGGUUCUGGCGUAGUUGGCAGGUGAUUUUGGCGUGACCGGCAGGUGGUUCCAGCAAGCCUGGCAGGUGAUUCCGAAGUGUUCACCAACUGGUUGUCUCGUAGCAGGCAGGUGAUUUUGGCGUGUCCAGCAGGUGGUUCUGGCGAGUUGAGCAGGUGGUUCCAGCAUGCUCGGCAGGUGCUUCCGGUGUCAUUGACAUGUGGUUCUGGCAUGUCUGAGAGGUGGUUCCGGCAUGACCGUCAGGUGAUUCCGGAGUGUUCACCAAGUGGUUCUGGCGUAGCUGGCAGGUGAUUUUGCAUGUCCGGCAGGUGGUUCUGGAGAGUGGAGCCGGUGGUUCCGGCGUGUCCGGCAGGUGGUUCCUGUCUGUCCGGCAGGUGGUUCUGGGGUGUCCGGCCCGAGGUUCUGGCACGUCUAAGACGUUGUGCUGGCAUGCCGUUCACGUGAUUCUGGCUUGUCCGCCAAGUGGUUCUGGUGCCGUCAUGCCAGAAACAUUGUUCCAGCUUGUACGCAAAGUGGUUCUGACGUAGCCGGCAGGUGCUUCCAGAGAGUCUGGCAGGUGGUUCCGGUCUGUCCGGUAGGUGGUUCCAGCGUGUAAGGCAUGUGAUUCUGGCACUUCUGAGAGGUGGUUCCGGCAUGUCCAGCAGGUGAUUCCGGGUUGUCCACCAAGUGGUUCUGGUGUAGCCGGAAGGUGAUUUUGGCGUGUCUGGCAGGUGUUUCCGGCUAGUCGAGCAGGUGGCUCUGGCGUGCUCUGCCGGUUCGUUCCGGCGUGUCUGGCUGGUGGUUCCCUUCUGUCCGGUAGGUGGUUCCCGCGUGUCUGGCACGUGGUGCUGGCACAUCUGAGAGGUGAUUCCAGCAUGCCCGGCAGGUGAUUCCAGAGUGUCCACCAAGUGGUUCUGGCAUAGCCAGCAGGUGAUUUUGGCGUGUCCGGCAGGUGGUUCUGUGGAGUGGAUCAGGAACUUCCGGCAUUCUCGGCAGGUGCUUCCUCCGUCUCCGGCAUGUGGUUGUGGCACCUCUGAGAGGUGGUUCCAGCAUGCCCGGCAGGUGAUUCCGGAGUGUCCGACAAGUGGUUGUGGCGUAGCCAGCUGGUGAUUUUGGCGUGUCCGGCAGGUGGUUCUGGCGACUCAAGCAGGUGUUCCCGGCGUGUCCGACAGGUGGUUCCGGUCUGUCCUGGAGGUGGUUGCGGAGUGUCUGCCGAGUGGUUCUGGCGUAGCCGGCAGGUGAUUUUGGCGUGUCCAGCAGGUGGUUCUGUGGAGUGGAUCAGGUCGUCCCGGCAUACUCGGCAGGUGGUACUGGCUUGUCCGGUACAUGGUUCUGGCAAGUCUGAGAGGUGGUUCCGGCUGGCCCGACAGGUUUUUCCGGAGUGUCCAAGUGGUUCUGGCGUACCUGGCAUGUGAUGUUGGCGUGACCGGCAGGUGGUUCCAGCAAUCCCGGCAGCUGAUUCCGAAGUGUUCACCAACUGGUUGUGGCCUAGGCGGCAAGAGUUUUUGGCGUGUCCGGCAGGUGAUUCUGAAGUUUCCGCCAAGUUGUUCUGGCGUAGCCGUCAGGUGAUUUUGCCACUUCUGGCAUGUGGUCACAGAGAGUCGAGCAUGUGGUUCCGGCGUGCUCGACAGUUGGUUCAGGCAGGUCCGGCAGGCGGUUCCGGUCUGUGCGGGAGGGGGUUCCGGCGUGUCCGGCAUGUGUUUCUGGCACAUCUGACAUGUGAUUCCGGCAUGCCCGAAAGGUGAUUUCGGUCUGUCCGGUAGGUGGUUCCGGCGUGUACGGCACGUGGUUCUGGUACGUCUCAGAGGUGGUUGCGCAUGCCCAACAGGUGAUUCCAGACUCUCCGCCACGUGGUUCUGGCACGUCUGAGAGGUGGUUCCAGCAUGCCCGGCAGGUCAUCCCAGAGAGUCCUCCAAGUGGUUCUGGCAUAGCCCGCAGGUGAUUUGGGCGUGUCCUGCAGGUGGUUCCGUCGUGCUCGGCAGGUGGUUCCGGCGUGGCCGGCAGGUGGUUCCAGUCUGUCCAGUACGUGUUUCCAGCUUGUGCGGCACGUGGUUAUGGUACGUCUGAGAGGUGGUUCCGCCAUUGCUGGCAGGUGAUUCUGGACUGAUCCCCAGGUGGUUCUGGCAUAGCCAGCAGUUGAUAUUGGCCUGCCGGCAGGUGGUUCCGGCGAGUCCAGCAGGUGGCUGUGGCGUGUUCGGCAGGUGGUUCCGGCGUGUCUGGCAGGUGGUUCCAUUCUGUCCGAUAGGUCGUUCUGGCAUGUCUGGCACGUGCUUCUGGCACGUGUGAGAGGUGGUUCUGGCAUGCCCGGCAGGUGAUUCCGGAGUGUCCGCCAAGUGGUUCUGGCCUAGCCGGCAGUUCAUUUUGGCGUGUCCGGCAUGUGGGUCCUGCGAGUCAAGCAGGUGGUUCCGGCGUGCUCGGCAGGUGGUCCAGACGUGCCCGGCAGGUGGUUCCGGUAUUACGGGGAGGGGGAUCCGGCGUGUCCGGCACGUUGUUCUGGCCCAUCUGAGAGGUGGUUCUAUGAUGCCCGGCAGGUGAUUCCAGAGAGUCCACCAAGUGGUUUUGGCGUAGCCGGCAGGUGAUUUUGGCAUGUCCGGCAGGUGGUUCAGGCGAGUUGAGCAUGUGGUUCCAACGUGCUCGGCAGGUGGUUCCGGCGUCUCUGGCACGUGUUUCUGCCACAUCUGACAGGUGGUUUUGGCAUGCCCGGAAGGUGAUUCUGGUCUGUCUGGUAGGUGCUUCCAGCGUGUACGGCACAUGGUUCUGGUACUUCUCAGAGGUGGUAGCGCAUGCCCAACAGGUGACUCCAGACUGUCCGCCAGGUGGAUCCGGCAGAGCCAUAUGUUGAUUUUGGCCUGUCCGGCAGGUUGUUCUGGCAUGUCUGGCAGGUGUUUCCGGCAAGUCUGGCAGGUGAUUCCGGAGUGUCCGCCAAGUGGUUCUGGCAUACCCGGCAGGUGAUUUUGGCGUGUCAGGUAGGUGGUUCUGGCGAGUCGAGCAGGUGGUUCCGGCGUGCUCGACAGGUGCUUCCGGAGUGUUCGGCAAGUGGUUCUGGCGUAGCCGGCAGGUGAUUUUGCAUGUCCGGCAGUGGUUCCAGCGGGUCUAGCCGGUGGUUCCGGCGUGUCCGGCAGGUGGUUACGGUCUGUCCGGCAGGUGGUUCUGGGGUGUCCGGCACGAGGUUCUGGCACGUCUGAGAGGUUGUGCCGGCAUGCCCUUCACGUGAUUCCGGCUUGUCCCCCAAGUGGUUCUGGCGUAGCCGGCAGGUGGUUUUGCAUGUCCGGCUGUGGUUCCGGUGUGUCGAGCUGGUGGUUCCUUCGUGUCCAGCACGUGGUUCUGGUACGUCUGAGAUGCGGUUCCGGCAUGGCUGGCAGGUGAUUUCGGAGUGUCUGCCAUGUUGUUCUGGCAUAUCCAGCAGGUGAUUAUGGCGUGUCCGGCACAUCUUUCCAGCGAGUCGAGCUGGUUAUUCCUGCGUGCUUGGCAUGUGCUUCUGGUGUUUUUGGGAGUUGAUUCCGGCGUGUCAGGAAUGUGGUUGUGGCAAGUUUGAGAGGUAUUUCCUGCAUGCCCGCAAGAGAUUCCAGAGUGUCCACCAAGUGGUUCUGGUGGAGCUGGCAGGAGAUUUUGGCGUGUCCAGCAGGUGGGUCCUGCGUGUCGAGAAGGUGGUUCCUGCAUGCUCGGCAAGUGAUUCCGGCGUGUCCGGCAGGUGCUUCUGGUCUGUCCGGGAGCUGGUUCCGGCAUGGCCGGCACGUGGUUCUGGCACGUCUGUGAGGUGCUUCGGGCAUGCCCGGCAGGUGAUUCCUGGGUGUCAGCCAAGUGGUUCUGGCGACACCGGCUGGUUAUUUUGGUGUGUCCGGCAGGUCUUUCCUGCUUUUUGGGCUCGUGGCUCUGGCUUGUAAGACACAUGCUUGUGGCAUUUCUGACCCCCGUUCUUUCAUACUCCUCAGCUGGUUUCAGUGUUUCUGGAACCUGUUUGUGGCAUAUCCAACAGGUGUUAACAAUGUGUCUGGCAUGUCGUUGUGCUAUGUUUGGAAUCUGGUUCCAUGUCAUUGUGUGCAGCUGGCAUGUUGAAGAGAUGGUUCUGCAGUGUCAGAAUCUCUGUUCCACUGUGUCUGGCAGGUGGUUACAGGUGGUUCUGGCAUGCAAAGUGGGUGCUUCUGGUAUGCCUGUUGGGUCAUACUGGCAUGAAUGUGUGGCCCUUUGAGAGUGUGCAGAGGGUGUUUUUGGCAUGUCUCCCAGGGUUUUCUGGCACAUAAGGGGCAUGAUUCCUUUUUAUACAUCAGGUGAGUUUGUUCUCAGCUUCCUAAAGAGAUGGAAGGAAGAUGGUCUGUGGCUUGUCACCCCUUGGGGGUGGAGCAAGUGCAUUGAGCAUUCCACUUCUACAGCAAUGGAGGGCACGGCCGAGAGUAAAGGGCCUUUCUGACAAUGGUGCUUUCUGACACUACCCCAACCACUGCUCAUGGGCGGUUGGUUAAAAGCCAAUUGUCUGUCUCCUCCUCAGCAUGUGGAACCACAAUCAUCCAGGCCUCGUUCCCAUUGCUCAAGGGGAAGAUGUAGGCAUUUCGUCUGAGCCGGGUUGGCAAGGUGGAAAUGCGGCAGAAACAGAUGUUGCAGAUUGGCAAGUUAAGGGCUGAAAAGACAUGGCAUUCAGCUGCUUUGUAUGAGAUGUUCCCAGGAUGCUGUAAGAGCACUGAGGAAUGCGAGUGCUUCCCCAGCUUUCUAAAGAGCUGGAAGCAGGACAGUUUAUGGCUUGUCUCCAAUUGAAGGAUGGAGGCAGUCCUUUGUGCCUUCCACCACUAGAGCAAUGGAGGGCACGGCUGAGAGCAAAGGGCCCUUUCUGACAUAGGCGCAUUCUGACACUCUCUGCACCAGUGCACAAUGGCGGUUUGUAAAAAGCCUAUUGUCUGCUCCUGCUAAGCAUGUGGAAGCACAAUCAUCUGGGGCUCGUUCCCGUUGCUGGAGGGGAAGAUGUAGGCAUUUCGUCUGAGCCGGGUUGGCAAGGUGCAAAUCUGGCAGAAGCAGAACUUCCAAAUCGGCGAGUUAAGCGCAGAAAACAAACGGCAUAUCAGCUGCCUUUGUAUGAGAUGUUGCCAGGACACAGAAAGAGCACUGUAGAGAGCGAGUUCUUUCUCAGCUUCCUAAAAAGAUGGAAGGAAGAUGGUCUGUGCCUUGUCACCCCUUGAGGGUGGAGCACGUGCAUUGAGCAUUCCACGUCUACAGCAAUGCAGGGCACGGCUGAGAGCAAAGGGGUCUUUCUGACAUAGCUGCUUUCCGACACUCUCUCCACCAGUGCACAAUGGUGGUAGGAAAAAGGUGUACACUCUAUCACCUCCUAAGCAGGUGGCCGCACAAUCAUUUGGGACUCAGCCCAGUUGCUUCAGGGGAAGAUGAAGGCAUUUCGUCUGAGCCGGGUUGGCAAGGUGGAACUGCGGCAAAAGCAGAAGUCCUAAAGCGGCGAGUUAAGCGCUGGGAAGAAAUGGCGUUUGAGCUGCCUUUGUAUGAGAGUUUCCUCGUAUGCUGUACAGCACUGUGGAAAGCGAGUUCUUUCUCAGCUUCCUAAAGAGCUGGAGGGAAGACAGUUUAUGGCUUGUCUCCCAUUGAAGGAUGGAGGCAGUCCUUUGUGCCUUCCUGCUCUAGAGCAAUGGAGGGCACUGCUGAGAGUAAAGGGGUCUUUCUGCCAUUGGUGCUUUCUGACACUCUCUCAACCAUUGCACUUGGUGGUUAGUUAAAAGCCUAUUGUCUCUCUCCUCCUCAGCAUGUGGAACCACAAUCAUCCGGGCCUCGUCCCCAUUGCUCAAGGGGAAGAUGUAGGCAUUUCGUCUGAGCCGGGUUGGCAAGGUGGAAUUGUGGCAGAAUCAGAAGUUCUAAAGUGGCGAGGUAAGGUCUGGCAAGAAAGGCCGUUUGACCUUCAUUUCUAUGACAGUUUACCCGUAGGUUUUUCCCGGGAGCCGAGCAAGUGUUUCUGGCAUUCUCGGUAGGAGGUUCGGGCAUGUACAGCAGGUGGUUCCAGUCUGUCCAGGAUGUGAUUCUGGCGUUUCUGGCACGUGUUUCUGGUACGUCUCAGAGGUGGUUCUGGCAUGCCCGGCCGGUGAUCCUGGAGAGUCCACCAAGUGAUUCUAACGUAACCGGCAGGUGAUUUUUGCCUGUCCGGCAGGUGGUUCUGGCAUGUCUGAGAGGUGGUUCCAGCGUGCCCAGCAGGUGAUUCCGGAGUGCUCGCAAAGUGGUUCUGGCGUAGCCGGCAGGUGAUUUUGCAUGUCCGGCGGUGGUUCCGGCUUGUCGAGCCGGUGGUUCCGGCGUGUCCGGCAGGUGGUUCUGGGGAGUGGAUCAGGUGGUUCCGGCAUACUCGGCAGGUGGUACCAGCGUGUCCGGAACAUGGUUCUGGCAAGUCUGAGAGGUGGUUCCAGCAUGCCCGGCAGGUGAUUCCGGAGUGUCCGCCAAGUGGUUCUGGCGUAGCUGGCAGGUGAUGUUGGCGUGACCGGCAGGUGGUUCCAGCAAGCCCGGCAGGUGAUUCCGAAGUGUUCACCAACUGGUUGUGUGGUAGCCAGCAGGUGAUUUUGGCGUGUCAGGCAGGUGGUUCUGGCGAGUCAAGCAGGUGGUCCCGGCGUGUCCGGCAGGUGGUUCCGGUCUGUCCUGGAGGUGGUUCCGGAGUGUCUCCCGAAUGGUUAAGGUGUAGCCGGCAGGAGAUUUUUGGCGUGUCCAGCAGGUGGUUCUUGGGAGUGGAGCAGGUGGUUCCGGCAUACUCGGCAGGUGGUUCCGGCGUGUCCGGCACAUGGUUCUGGCACGUCUGAGAGGUGGUUCCGGCAUGCCCGGCAGGUGAUUCCGGAGUCUCCGUCAUGUGGUUCUGGCACCUCUGAGAGGUGGUUCCGGCAUGCCCGGCAAGUGGUUCUGGAGUGUCUGCUGAGUGGUUCUCUCGUACCCCGCAGGUGUUUCUGGUGUGUCCGGCAGGUGGCUCUGUGGAGUCGAGCAGGUGCUUCCGGCGUGUCCGGCACGUCGUUCAGGUGUGUCUGAGAGCGGGUUCUGGCAUGUCCGGCAGAUGAUUCCGGAGUGUCCACCAAGUGGUUCUGGUAUACCUGGCAGGUGAUUUUGGCGUGUCAGGAAGGUGGUUCCGGCUAGUUGAGCAGGUGGAUCAGGCGUGCUCGCCAGGCGUUUCAGGCGGGUCUGGCAGGUGGUUUCGGUCUGUUCGGGGUGUGGUUCCGGCAUCUUAGGCACAUGUUUCUGGCACGUCUGAGAGUUGGUUCCGGCCUGCCCGACAUGUGUUUCCGGUUGUCCGCCAAGUGGUUCUGGCGUAGCUGGCAGGUGAUGUUGGCGUGACCGGCAGGUGGUUCCAGCAAG